GGAAUGGAAUGUGCUACCCAGUUUGGAGUGACCACAUUGAACAAGUGUAUCUGCCUGGCAGCUGUCGCUUGUUUCCUGUGCAAAACAUCCCUGUGUGCUCAUGGAAGAGAAAAAUCUGUUUAUGGGCAAGGCUGCAGCCAGAAUAUAAAGAGACAAUCUUCUUAGGAGUAUUCCCAGCUUGGAGCACCAUGAGGCUCAGGUUUAGACACAGCACUGCAGCAACAAUGAAAAACAGCAGUAAAAGUCAGGUGCAGGUAAGAAAAACAAACCUGGCAGCCAGAUACCUUGGUCUCUCCUCCUGGGCUCACCAUCUGCAUCACAAUAAAUCACCCUAAAAUCUCCAUCCCUGCCCUCCCUCCCUGCACAUGUCUGGUCUCAGCAGAAUUCAGGCAGAGGCAUAAAUUACCACAAAAAUGGCAUCGAGUCAGGCAGCUGCCUGUCACUGUCCUUUUAGGAAUGUUUGCCUUCUGAUUUACCACAGGAAACAUCUUCCACCGAGGGGGGCAAGUACACAUCAGCCGGCAGGUACUGGCGAGCAGAUGGAGGAUGCUCGUGCUUCGGCUCACUCCUGCUACACCCUCUUCUGGCAGCUUGCUGGUCUGCCCACACAUCGGGACUGCAAAUUCAUCAGCUGACACCGCAAAGAAAUGGGCCCUCACAAACACAAAACGCCUGUCCCAGAAUGCCCAAGGUGGCUGAGACCCUUCAGACACAAGUGUGCUACACACACUAACAGCUCUCAAACUGGUCAGCUCGCCCCGGCCUGGGAUUUUAAAAAGUACUGUUUCAUACUCUGCUUUUACCUGUACUUUGGCCAUAACUUGAUUUUAAACGUGCUAGGCCAAGAACUGUCACGAAACAGUCUGUAGCUCAGGUCUCACAGGUGCAGACUAACUCUUGAAACAGUUUAAAAUGUGAUGCUGCACAAAUUUAGACACUUUAAACAUAAGCUACAGACCGACCAGAGGUAAAACAAAAUUUCUCAGUGUAGUCUCAAGACAGUGUAGCUAUACUCUCAUUGAUUUAAACCCAUGUAAAUCUGCAUUGGUUUAGCAUUUUCAACAUGGUUGCUGAAUCUCUAGAGGUUUAAGACAGAGACUGACAGACUAAAAGGGAGUGUUCUCUGUGUUUGGAUGUACUGGCUUCCCAGUAAUUGCUAGAAAGGGCUUACGGUGGACACCUGAUAAAAGUGUCUACUUAGAAAGGCUGAAUUAUUUAAUGAAGUGUCUCUGAUGCUCUCAUUUAGACCCACAUUAGAAGGCCAAAAGGAGCGAUUAGUGUCAGAGGAAGCCGGACUUGCAGACAAAGCAAUUCUAGUGCUUUAUUUUCUCCCUUAGGAUGACUACAGAUGCUUAUUGCAACCACCUUUUGCUUUUGGUCUGGUUUAGAGUCUGUAUUUUUAUCCUGCUAAUGAUUUAUUAACCCUUUUGUUAAAAGUAGCUUCUAGCAACCUGCCUUAUAUUCACACCAUAUUCACAGCAUUUUUUAAAAAUUUACCUUGUCUUCUACAUGAGCAUCUCCCAAAGCUUUUUCAGUGGCACUAUUUCUGGGAGUUGGAGUAGCCACAAUUGGUCUGUGCAUCACGCUUUGCAUGAUCCAGGCUGUAUAAUGAUUCCAGUGAGGUCAAGACUACAGGAUUUGGCCUCCAUAUCUGCUCCACAAAGAACAUUAACUCCUCAGGAGUCAUUAUAUAGACAGUGAAUGAGAUACAUCAUAAUAAAGCAGUAAUUAAGUUAAAGAUGCCUGUCA
ensembl:lncRNA